CGGAUAUUGCCAUAUCCUAAAAGUGGUACAAUGGGUGAAAAGGUUGAAAAGCCCUGGCCUAUAGUACUGCAUUCUAACCACUGUGCCACCACGGCUCAUAAAGUAUAUGUUCCCCCAUUUUAUUCUUUUCCCCUAACGUCUUAAUGGGAUCUCCCAUUUUCCAGUAAUGGAAUUGCUUUUACAAUUGCAUCUGAGUUAUUGCCCCUCAAUUUUCAGCUUCCUGCUUCUGUCUUGAGAUGUUGGCAGAUCAUCCAAAGAAGACUUACAAAGAUUUUGUAUGCCUGUUCAAUAUAUGGUAUUCUACAUUUUUACCAUGGGCAAUUUCAUUCAUGCAUAAUCCAACGUGACAGAAGACUAUCACUUUGCCUACCUAAAUCGUGCAACUAGUAAUGGUGUCACAAGAGUGUUUAAGAAUCAUCCAAUCUUCAUUCAUCCAGUAUAAUCUGAAGUAAGAAACAGCAGAAGAGAAAAUAUUUCAAAGGCUGGAAGAAGCUAUUCCAUCCUUCGGAAGCAAGUCUGAAAACAGAGCUGCUACAAAGAAUCUCCAAACAUCAAUAAGUAGACUGUAACUUUAUUCUGUGUGAUUUUAUAUACUGUUUAUUUCAGCAGCUUCCUCUAAAUAUCUACCAAGUUUCUAUAUUAUAUAAUUCUCAGGGUAUCUUUUUACAAAUAUACAUAGCAUCUAUUCUGUUAUUUUUGUACAACACGUGCAUGAUACAACAUUCUUGUAUCACCCAUUGUUAUGCAAGAAUGUUGCUUAACAACAUAAUGCACUUAUUGUCAUUUUGAUGUCGCUCUGACUUGUUAUUGAUACCACCAUCAUAAAGCAUGUUUUGGUUGGACAUAUAGAUUCAGCAAUGAUGAAGAGAAGCACAUGCACACACAUUUGCAUGAACACGCAUACACACAUACCUUUCACUGUGCCAUUACUAGGUGUGUCAUGCCCCAUUUCUUCUUGCUUCAAUUAUAUGGUAGGAAAAAUAUGAUAUGAUCACACAAAACCAGUACAGUACAUAUAGUCCUCAACCUACGACCACAAGUGAGCCCAAAAUUUAUGUUGUUAAAUGAGGCAUUUGUUAAGUCAGUUUUGCCUCAUUUUACAACCUUUCCUAUCAUAGUUUUUAA